UCUGGAUGGAAGUAUACAUAAUUGCCCAAUGAGUUUUUUACAUUAUGCAGGUUAGCCUGUCACUGAAUAUAUCAGCAAAUUUAGAGUCAUUGUUCACGUGGAACACGAAGCAGGUGUUUGUAUGGAACCCCCAAAAAUGCACUUAACCAGAUCUCCCAAUGGGACGGUAUAAUACCUUCCAGAGAGCAUGCAAAGUUUUGGAUCAAUACAUCUAACAAACAUCGGUUUGUUGAUCAAGGGAGCAAUCUGCGGGGCAAAGAGUUUAACUUAACGUUGCGUUGCAUUGGCAUGUGAUGCCGAAGACGGGGA